UACAGGGGGUGCAAACGUUGCUCGGAAUUAUUGGGCGUAAAGCGCGCGUAGGCGGCCACUUAAGUCGGAUGUGAAAGCCCCUGGCUCAACUGGGGAAGUGCACCCGAAACUGAAUGGCUUGAAUGCAAAAGAGGGUCGCGGAAUUCCAGGUGUAGCGGUGAAAUGCGUAGAUAUCUGGAGGAAUACCGGUGGCGAAGGCGGGUCUCUGGGGCCGAUACUGACGCUGAGGAGCGAAAGCGUGGGGAGCGAACAGG
rnacentral:rRNA from 1 species